AUCCUCAACAGAAACAGAUGUUUUGCUGAAGCUGGUAAAAGAGAACCAGAUCGACUUUUGCACGGAUUUGGUCCCCUUCAACCAGCUGCAGCUGUACAUUAAUCACCACACUGAAUGU
rnacentral:precursor_RNA from 17 species